UACGGAGGAUGCGAGCGUUAUCCGGAUUUAUUGGGUUUAAAGGGUGCGUAGGCGGCUUUUUAAGUCAGCGGUGAAAUUUUGCAGCUUAACUGUAACAGUGCCGUUGAUACUGCAUGGCUAGGAUUUGGUUGCUGUGGGUGGAAUGUGUGGUGUAGCGGUGAAAUGCUUAGAUAUCACACAGAAUAUCAAUUGCGAAGGCAGCUCACAAAGCCAAGAUUGACGCUGAGGCACGAAAGUGUGGGGAUCAAA
rnacentral:rRNA from 1 species